AUUGAACGCUGGCGGCAGGCCUAACACAUGCAAGUCGAGCGGAUGAAGUGAGCUUGCUCCUGGAUUCAGCGGCGGACGGGUGAGUAAUGCCUAGGAAUCUGUCCGGUAGUGGGGGAUAACGUCCGGAAACGGGCGCUAUUACCGCAUACGUCCUGAGGGAGAAAGUGGGGGAUCUUCGGACCUCACGCUAUCAGAUGAGCCUAGGUCGGAUUAGCUAGUUGGUGGGGUGAAGGCCUACCAAGGCGACGAUCCGUAACUGGUCUGAGAGGAUGAUGAGUCACACUGGAACUGAGACACGGUCCAGACUCCUACGGGAGGCAGCAGUGGGGAAUAGUGGACAAUGGGCGAAAGCAUGAUCCAGCCAUGCCGCGUGUGUGAAGAAGGUCUUCGGAUUGUAAAGCACUUUUAGUUGGGAGGAAAGGCAGUAAGUUAAUACCUUGCUGUUUUGACGUUACCAACAGAAUAAGCACCGGCUAACUUCGUG
rnacentral:rRNA from 1 species